rnacentral:ncRNA from 2 species
UUACAUUUGCACUGCAACGGUUCACGAGGGGUUACGCCCCGUCAGAUUAAAUGGGAACGCAGUGAAAGUCUGCGACAGUUCCCGCUGCUGUGAGUCCUGCCCGACGAUCCGAGGUGAUCGGCCCGCUUGCGGGCGGCGUUUCGGAUGCCCGGGUGUAUUACCGCGACACUCUUUUGCCACUGGUCCUGCGGGGUCGGGAAGGCGUUGCGGCGGGGACGAGUCAGAAGACCAGCCUUUGCCUGCCCGAUGAA